rnacentral:misc_RNA from 1 species
UCGUACAACUGAGGUGCAAGGGCUGUCGCUGACCUUCAAAGGUUGUGCACGCCCAAGCACUCUUACACAUCAUCCAUCUUACCCCUUUGUGCAUCACCGCGUGGGCCCCCCUUUGCAGGAGGGCUUGCGUUUUCACAUAAAACUUGAUAUAGUGUAGAAUGGUUUCUUUUGCGGUCACACGCAAUUAAUA